rnacentral:tRNA from 1 species
GGGGACGUAGCUCAGGGGGAGAGCGCUUGACUCACAUUCAAGAGGUCGGAGGUUCAAAUCCUCUCGUCCCCA